GACGAACGCUGGCGGCGUGCUUAACACAUGCAAGUCGAACGGAAAGGCCCUGCUUUUUUUGGGUGCUCGAUUGGCGAUCGGGUGUGUAACACGUGUGUAACCUGCCCUUGACUUUGGUAUAACUUCAGGAAACUGGGUCUAAUACCUGAUAGGAGCUCCUGCUGCAUGGUGGUGUUUGGAAAGUUUCGGCGGUUGGGGAUGGACUCGCGGCUUAUCAGCUUGUUGGUGGGGUAGUGGCUUACCAAGGCUUUGACGGGUAGCCGGCCUGAGAGGGUGACCGGCAAAAUUGGGACUGAGAUACGGCCCAGAGUGCAACGGGAGGAAGCAGUGGGGAAUAGUGCACAAUGGGAGGAAGCGUGAUGAAGAAAAGCGGCGUGCGGGAUGAAGGCAUUCGGGUUGUAAAAAGAAUUAGAAUGUGACGAAGAGUGAGUGACGGUAAUGGGUAAAGAAGCACCGGCUAACUACGUG
rnacentral:rRNA from 1 species